rnacentral:rRNA from 2 species
AGCAGCCGCGGUAAUUCCAGCUCCAAUAGCGUAUAUUAAAGUUGUUGCAGUUAAAAAGCUCGUAGUUGAAUUUCGGGAUUAGUGCGCUGGUCAUGCCUUUGGUAUGUACUGGUGUUACUGAUUUCUACCUUCUGAAGAACCGUUAUGUCAUUUAUUUGGUGUGGCGGGGAAUCAGGACUGUUACUUUGAAAAAAUUAGAGUGUUUAAAGCAGGCUCGCGCUUGAAUACAUUAGCAUGGAAUAAUGAAAUAGGACGUUUGACCCUAUUUUGUUGGUUUCUAGGAUCGACGUAAUGAUUAAUAGGGAUAGUUGGGGGCAUUAGUAUUCAAUUGUCAGAGGUGAAAUUCUUGGAUUUAUUGAAGACUAACUACUGCGAAAGCAUUUGCCAAGGAUGUUUUCAUUAAUCAAGAACGAAAGUUAGGGGAUCGAAGACGAUCAGAUACCGUCGUAGUCUUAACCAUAAACUAUGCCGACUAGGGAUCGGAUGAUGUUAUUUUUAAUGACUCAUUCGGCGCCUUACG